AUUGAACGCUGGCGGCAGGCCUAACACAUGCAAGUCGAACGGAGUGGCGCACGGGUGAGUAAUGUAUCGGAACGCGCCCAGUAGCGGGGGAACACUUCGCGAAAGCGUAGCUAAUACCGCAUACUAUUGGAGCGGCCGAUAUCGGUUUAGCUGGUUGGAGGGGUAACGGCUCACCAAGGCGACGAUCCGUAGCUGGUUUGAGAGGACGCCCAGCCAAACUGGGACUGAGACACGGCCCAGACUCCUACGGGAGGCAGCAGUGGGGAAUUUUGGACAAUGGGCGAAACCCUGAUCCAGCCAUCCCGCGUGUGCGAUGAAGGCCUUCGGGUUGUAAAGCACUUUUGGCAGGGAAGCGGUACCUGCAGAAUAAGCACCGGCUAACUACGUGCCAACAGCCGCGGUAAUAC
rnacentral:rRNA from 1 species